GGAGAGGUGGCAGAGUGGUUGAUCGCUCCGGUCUUGAAAACCGGCGACCCUUUAACGGGGUCCGGGGGUUCGAAUCCCUCCCUCUCCGCCA
rnacentral:tRNA from 1 species